rnacentral:ncRNA from 1 species
UCAAAGUCAAUGAAGAGAAGUAGUAAAUACAGGAACUUAGUUAAAGCGAGUUUGGAAUGGUGAAAGCCGAACACUGUAGCCUAUAUUGAAUGGAUCUCUGAGACGUGAUGCGAAAUAGUAGUAGCAAUAACCGGUAGUCUACCGUUAAAAAGACAGGGUAUCGAGUAAAAUCUGUACCUGGAAGAGAGAGUUUUGUACUAAGGUGGUAUAACGAGAUUUAACAUUUCGUCCUUUGA